ACGCUCGACACCUACGGGAGGGAGCAGUAGGGAAUCUUCCACAAUGGACGCAAGUCUGAUGGAGCAACGCCGCGUGAGUGAAGAAGGUCUUCGGAUCGUAAAACUCUGUUGUUAGAGAAGAACACGAGUGAGAGUAACUGUUCAUUCGAUGACGGUAUCUAACCAGCAAGUCACGGCUAACUACGUGCCAGCAGCCGCGGUAAUCUGAGCGGGCUGGCAAGGC
rnacentral:rRNA from 1 species